rnacentral:misc_RNA from 1 species
GAUGAAGAACGCAGCGAAAUGCGAUAAGUAGUGUGAAUUGCAGAAUUCAGUGAAUCAUCGAAUCUUUGAACGCACAUUGCGCUCCCUGGUAUUCCGGGGAGCAUGCCCGUUUCAGAAUCAUUAAAAUCUCACAAGCCCUGGUUUACGCUCGCGGAAACCGGGGGGAAGUGGAUGUGGGUGCACUUGCGAGCCUGGCUUGCGAUGCAUCUAUAAAUGAUUGUGACGUGCGCCAAUUGUCGUGUCAACUGGUCGUCCGAAGCGCAACAGAUUCAUCUAUUCGUUUUGGUCAUCAGCUGGCUGACUUGGAGGCAUGGGACUCAACUUGUCAACCGGGGCCCUGCAGUUUGCAGAGCCCGCUGAUAACUUGGUCUGAAAUCGGGCAAGAAAACCCGCUGAACUUUAGCAUAUCAAUAAGCGGAGGA